rnacentral:rRNA from 1 species
CAAUAGCGUAUAUUAAAGUUGUUGCAGUUAAAAGCUCGUAGUUGGAUUUCUGGCCCCAGCAGCCGGUCCGCGUCGUAAGGCGUGUGCACUGGGUUGUUCUGGGGCCUUCCUUGCAGAGAGCGUGUCUGCCAUUAAGUUGGUGGAUUCGGGAUCUGCAUCGUUUACUGUGAAAAAUUAGAGUGUUUAAAGCAGGCAUUUGCUGUGAAUACAUUAGCAUGGAAUAAUAAGAUAGGACUUUGGUGCUAUUUUGUUGGUUUGCACACCAAGGUAAUGAUUAACAGGGACAGUUGGGGGUAUUCAUAUUCAAUUGUCAGAGGUGAAAUUCUUGGAUUUAUGGAAGAUGAACUUAUGCGAAAGCAUUUACCAAGGAUGUUUUCAUUAAUCAAGAACGAAAGUUAGGGGAUCGAAGACGAUUAGAUACC